GCCUGGGUGGCUCAGUCGGUUGAGCAUCUGACUUAGGCUCAGGUCAUGAUCUCACGGCUCGUGGGUUCCAGCCCCGCACUGGGCU
rfam:Felis catus isolate Cinnamon breed Abyssinian chromosome X, whole genome shotgun sequence.